GAGAAAUUCUGCAAACACACACUACUGAGACAGAAGCUGUUCAGUCAACUGGGUACCUACACAGUCCUCUUCAGACACCAAACUCAGGAUGCCGUACAUCACAGAUAUUGAUGUUUCCAUUAAUCCUGAACAGGAGCAAUGCCUAAGAAACCAAAGUUUCAAAAUAAUCAAUGUUAAUCUGAACAAAGGUGCUGGAGGAAAUAAUAUUUACCUCUGGUACAAGAAGGGAAGCAGCAAUCCCAUCACCAGAUUGCAGGUUACAUUCACAGAUGAAAUGCAAAUUGGUUUGAGGAACGCAGGUUACCAUAAGGUGGAUAAAGACCUCAAUGCAGGGGCUGGAGGAGAUAACAUCUUUCUCUGGUGCUACAAAGGUACAACUGAGUAUGACAACCCUAUAGUGGAACUUAAGGUCACCACAGAUGCAACAGAUGAAGCCCAAAAUUACCAGAAUGGCUGGGAACGACUGGCGUGUGACCUGAAUCGCAAAGCUAAAAGCAACUGGAUCCAUGUUUGGGUGAAGAAAGAGAAGAAAAUGUACAUCUCUGAG
ensembl:lncRNA